CAGAAAACAGGGCAUGUACGGUGCCCCCUGGAGUUGUGUGAGGAUACCCUACUAGUUUGGAUUCAACAAACAAUUGAGAUGAGCAUGGUGGCCUAGAGACGAUCUCUCUUCUGUUGGUUCCUCACAAAGGUGAAUGAUUUCCUGCUGCAAAGACUGUGAGGCAUCAUUUUUCCAAUUAGAAGUGUUGCUUUGUCAUUGGACUACAUAUAUCUGGAUACCAUAAUGAUAAUGGACUUGCUUCCCUUUUAAUUUCAUGAUUGAGCAUUUAUAUCCUGAGUUAGACCCAGUCUGACAAAGGCACUGACAUGGAGGAGCUCAUGGUCUGAUGGGGAUAACAGGUAAAAACUACCCCCGUACCAGUUACUCUGGGUGAAGAAAGGCGUCUAUGUUUGGCAAGGACUAAGGAAUAUUUGACUUCAUGAAUCAAUAACUAUUCUCAAAGCUGCUAUUGACCUCUGAUCUGCAAAUCUGUCAGCAAAGAGAGAUUAUGGAACUCUGCAUCAAAUCGCUUUCCGUGAAUUUGUUUCCAUGCAGUGGUGUGGAAGAGCAAUUAUAAAAUUAAUUCAGAGCAGGAAUGUUUUAUAUCCUGAAUGAAGAAGAAAGGGGAGAUUGGAGGUGCUACCUUAAUGUGUGCCUGGAUCCAUCAUUCCUGAACAUGCUGCUGUUUUAUUUCAUUCUGAUGUGGUGUUUCUCCCAGCUCCUAAGCUCCUUUUGGCAUAUAUCUUUUUGCAGAACUGGAAAAAAUUUGAAAUGAGAAAAAAUGAGUUGUGGCUGUUUUUUGUUUUGGGUUUUGUUUUGGUAGAAAUGGGGUUUUAGCAUAUUUCCCAAGCUGGUCUGGAGCUCCUGAGCUCAAGGGAGCCGCUGGCCUCAGCCUCCCAAAGUGCUGGGAUUACAGGCAUGAGCCGCCACACCCAGCCUAAGAAAUGGGUUUUGUUUUGAGAUUUCCACAACCACACUAGAAGUGGCUGACAUCCUGGGAGUGAGUGUGGAAACUUCAAGACUGGCUUUUGAGAACCUGAGUCUAGGGCGUGUAUCGGGUGCUUCUUAUGUUUUCGUGCUCACUUGUGUGGGAAGACAAGAUAUGAGACAAAAAGACACACAUAGCUGCAGGCACACACGUACAUGUGUAUACAUAUUGCUGGUUUAGAAGGCCUUGAGCCUUUGGGAUACUGAGGCCAGAGGAUCACUUGAGCCUGGGAGUUUGAAACCAGCUUGCGC
rnacentral:lncRNA from 10 species